rnacentral:lncRNA from 1 species
AAUACAUUAACACGGGAAACUGUUCACCGUGUCUAGACACGGUGAACAUUUCCCUGUGUUCAGUAGAGGUACAACACACUUACAAUUAAUUUUGCACAAUAAACCACUGAAAUACAACAUCAACAACACAACAACAAAUUCAAUACAACAACACAAGAAAUUCAAGAUUAAUAAUACAAUAACAAAUCCAACACAAUAAUAAAUCCAACAGAAGAUCAAUAGAACAUCGAUACCAUAUCAUCACAACAGAAUAUCAAAAAUUAAAGCAAGUUUUUCAAUAAUAUAGAAAGUUCGGUGUAAUUUAAAAUUUACAAAAAUAUAAUGUCAUGUUCUUCUCCUAAUCCCUCGACCACGUCUACCUGCACGUCUCCUACCACGACCGCGACCACGAUCAACACUAUGCUCAUCAAAGGGCUCUAUGACCUCCAACUGGUCGAGAUGUUUGAUAGUAGCACCCUCAAUAACUGUCUGAGUGUCCUGCGUCUCGAUCACCCGUUUGAUCUUGUGCUCAAUCAUAGCAGGUGUCGGUAGUAUGUCUGGCCGUGGAGGAGCUGAAGAGGAGGGUUGAUCUAUAUGGAAAGAAUGCAAUUGUCGUCGGUGCCUACGAUAAACAAUAUCGACUGGUCGAGGUGGAUCCUCUGGUACUGGUGCUGGUACUGUAUCUGGAUGAUAAGGUGGCUCCUCUAUCGAUGAAGAUGGCCUCGGUGGACUAUACAAUGGUACAUGGCCCGACGUCGAUGGUCCACCUGUUCUGUUAGCCGUGGAGGUACAGUGUGUGGAAGUGUAGGUAAAGUCUCCAAAACUGCUUCUAUUUGAUCGGCAACUUGUGAUAGGGCGUCUAAUACUCCACCAUAUGGAAUAUCUGGCAGGACACAUCUAAUCGUAUAAUAUGAUCUCUGCAUGAUAUCGACCUGAAAUAAAAACAUCAUCAUAAAGAUUACACUAAACUUUCUUUAUAUAUAAAAAUAAAUAUAAAGAGAUAUUAUAUAUUAAAAUCAUACCAAUACUCUCUCGACGUAAUCAUGUGGCUGAUACGCGAGGGGUGGCCGCUGUACUAGCCUAGAUAUCCACCUCCUGGUGAUCCUCCAAUACCACUGCAUGUAAGCAGUGAUAGCUCCUAUAGGAUCUGGAUUUACCUCAAGGUUCAUCUCUAGUAUAUCCAUCAAUCUAUCAUCCCAAUGCUGAAUAUAUGAAGCAUGAUACGCCGCCCAAUUCUCAUCUGCUCUACCCGUGAAGUGAUGCGAGAUAUGGCAACCACUGCUUCAGGUAUAUGUUGUAACAGACCAAACUGUCGAAGCACACGAGCACACGAUCUGGAAGAUGCAGCUUAAUAAUGUGGAAGCAGAUUAAGGUGGUCCUAGAUCGCCAAACCUGGGACCCCGCUAGACAAAAAGGUGGGAGCGUCUCCAAUGCUCUAUUUGUAUAAGUCCUCCAUAUAAUCUAUUAUGAAAAAUACAUAUGGUUGCUUAUCCAAAUGUUUAAAAUAUAAUGUGCAAUUAUAAUAAGAUUGAGUUACUUUCAUUUACUUGAGACUCUGGCUGUUGAUCAAGCUGAUCAUGAUAAAACUCAAUGUCAGUAGUCAUGACAUUCUCUUGAAAAGCCAGCCUAGUAUUCCACUUUAUUCAUUUAUAUCAUAUUAGUCACGAUUAAAUAGUAUAUAGAAAUAUUAAAAUAAAAAAAUACUUACAUACACCCUAGUGGCAUGUCGACAAGCUCAAGCUGCGGUCCAACUAUCUUAGGGCGGCCAAUGUGCAGGUGGUCCCAUGCCCAUAUCUAUACAAAAAGAUAGUUAGAAAUUACAACAAAAAUCAUGACUUAUAUAAUGCUAGUAAGGCAAUGUACCUGAAGUAAUGUCCUAAAACAACAGCACUCUACGUUCCCCCUCAUGCAAGCAUUUCCUAAUGCCCGACAGAGAUGACCUAGCGCAGCUGCACCCCAUGCCAACUCACCGCAGACGUCAAAAUUCUCUAACAGUGGCAACCAUUUCAAAUGCACUCUAUUCCCGCUUGGAUUUGGCACUACAAUAAGGAUUGAUCUAGCUGUAGGUGCCGCAAUCGCGAUACAUAAUAAAAUCCUACACGUCGCAAUAGGUCCAAAACUGUAGGACGCUCAAUUUGCCAUCGGUUCAUUUUAUGGCCAUGCUCCGUGAAUUGAACAGGAGAAUAACCCCGCAUGAUUGUGAAUGUAGAUCAAUAUUAGUACAUAGUUUAUAAGUAAAUAUGAAAAAAACAUCACCUCCUCUCUAAUCAAAGUGGAUCUAUGGUGUGGCUGCUCAGUCAGUACGGAUGUAUUGAUCGGUCCCGACUCCUCGUAAUCGUCCAUAUGAAAUAGUCAAAUAAAAUUAGUGAGAAACAAAAGGAUGAAACAUAAGUGCAUAAGCAUAAAAUAAAAAGAAAGUUAAGUGUAAUUUUCAUAUAAAAAAACCAAGCGACGACGUCUCUCGGUCCUUUGCUGAUUUUCAAGAUAUGUGCUUUUAUAAUGACCAGGCUGUUUACACAUACUACACUUGCCCCUUCUAUUCCCAGCGCUUUCGUCCAUAACAUUACAGAUACGCGUAGAUUUGGGUCGUUCCUUUUUCCUUCUCCCGCGUGGUGGAAGUAUAGGUGAAUCAUAUGAUUCGAUCCAAUAACGACGAUCGGGAACGGGGUGGAACUGUGGUUUAUAAGUCUUACGAUAGGAUACGGCAGUAUACCAAGGAGAACAUAAACCAUAAUAAUCUAUGUUCAUGUGUGAAGAACUACAACAUGACAAAAUAUGUGAGCAAGGGAUUCCUAUGAGUUGCAAACACAAACAUGAAUAAGUAGAAGCUCUUCCAUUGAUAAUCACUUGGUAUUAAUCGUCCCCGCUAGUAAGUACGUCGAACUCGUGAGCUCCAAAUCGUCGAACUGUAUAUGCUCUAACACAUUUCAUUCGGCUAUUGAUGGUGUUUUUAACAGUCGAUACAAAUUGUAUAGACAUUGCAGCGCCCUCUGCACGAUGUUUUAGGAAAAAUUUUACCACUCGAUGAAACAUUGCCAUCACAAAAGUUGUAAUCGGUAAGGCACGAACUGCACUCAACACCCCAUUUAAACUUUUCGAUCGGUUCGUUCUCAUAAUACUGAAUCGACGACCACCAUCAAAAGCUUUAGCCCAGUAUGUCCUAUCGACAUGAAUAUUGUCAACCCAAAACCAAGUUUCUUCAUCCAUAGCCUUUAAUUCUUUCUUUAAUGCAUAAUAUUCUCAUUCUUCUGAAGAUUCCCAAUUCUCCAAAACAUCUUAAGUAAGUGUUUUGCUUUGAAAUGAAUAUUCAUAUUGGCCUUCAUAUAUCGCAAACACCAUCGAUGAGCAUGACCUUCUGAUGGUGGGAAUACAAGUGCAACGAGAUUCGCUAGCCCUUUAAAAUGAUCUGAAAUGAGUGGAAUAACUCGAGAUCAUGUUAUAUACCUUCUUAGGCAACUUAGAAACCACUCCCAACUUAAGUCAUUCUCCCCCUCACAAAUUACAAACGCUAGCGAAAAUAAACCACUAUUGGCAUUGGCACCUGUGGCAAUUAAUACGUGGCCUUCGUAUUUUCCAUACAAAUAGAUAACAUCGAUACUAAGUAAUGGGCGCAAUACUCCCAACCAUGAAUCGACCGUCCAAAAGCCCAAAAGGCUAAUGAAAAUAUCUUGUAGUGCUCGUCACCCUAAUAAAAUCAAUCUUCGUAAUAGUUUUAGGAUUUGUUGCUUCCGACAUAGAGAAGUAUCAAGGAAGGUCGCAAUAUGAUUGCUCCCAACUACCGUAUAUAAUUUGUAGUGCUUUAUUCUGGGCCCGCCAAGCUUUGCUAUAUGAUAUACUAAUGUGCAUCUCACUCUGAACUCGAGAUUGAAUUUUCAUAGGACUCAUAGUAAGCCUUGCCUUCAGUGUAGGUAGUAUAAAUUGACAUAUAAAAGAGGAUGUACAGUUUCGAUGCGUUGUAUUCAGAAUUGGAAUCAUACAUGUGUGCGGAUGUCUAUAAGGUUUUACUUUAAAAAAUGAACUACUUUUCGGUUGAGAGGCAUGUAAUCUCCAUGGCAAGAAUCGACCACACAUCUCACAAUGUAUCUAGUUGUAUUUGACUUAAUAACUUGGGGCAAUUGCUUAUAUACCCCUGAAAAGUUUCUGACUUUCCAAUUUACCUUUCUUAGAAGGCUAAUAUUGAAAAUACCCUAUUUACGUUCCAACCUAUUUCUAAUAUACCCCUAGAGUUAAAAUCUAUUAAUUAAUUCUGUUAACUCUGUAAAAUUACUAUUUUGCCCUUUCAAAUAUACCCUUCCAUCAUCACUGGCUUUCUUAUUUGCCCCUAAAGUCAGGGGCACAAAAAGUAUUUUAACUUUUGAUCUUUUCCAAUAUACCCCUCUACCGUCACCAACAUUUCUUAUUUGNNNNNNNNNNNNNNNNNNNNNNNNNNNNNNNNNNNNNNNNNNNNNNNNNNNNNNNNNNNNNNNNNNNNNNNNNNNNNNNNNNNNNNNNNNNNNNNNNNNNCUUCAUUGCAAAAGUAUUCUGGAAAAAGGAAAGGCGGUAUUAAGCCCUACUUAUCCCUCAAUUUCUGAACCCCGGGGGGUCUUUGCUCCUUCUUUGUAGUUUUUAUUUGUAAUGGAAAAUCCAUGUUGAAUUUAUUUCUGUAAAAAAAAAAAAAAGGAUUAAGGUUUAGACAACUAUUGCUUUAUAUUCAGAACUCCAUCUACUGUUUUGAAGAAGCAUACCAGGCCUGUGAUUUUGAGGUUUGUGAUAUUAUUGCAUGGUGUAACGUUGCAAGAGAGAGUUCAUAUUCCCUGACAAAGAAACUCCAUCGCAUGUUUCCUUAGCUUGAAGCUUCUACUACAAAGAGAGCAGGAGAUCCCAGUGAGGAUCCUCAUCGCAUGUAAAUACCAAAAGUUAAGUGACUGAUGUAUUAUCAAGUAUCAAAUUUAGAUGUUCCAAAUGUCUUUGUUGACGAAAAAAUAAAAAAAUAAAAAAAUAAAAUCCUUUAUUGAUCAAAAGGUAAAGAAUUACAAUGGUAGGGACCUCAAGCAUUUUGGCCUGAGUUUUCUGCUGGGAGUUGCUCUUUUAAAACGCAUUAUGUUCGGCUGCUUGCUUUGGACCGAACUUGAUGGAUGAAUUCAAAUGGUCUCUUAGCUGUUACCGAAGAAAUUCAAGAACUCGCGGUUUUAACCUCAGUCUCAAGAAUGGCUGAAACAUCAAGAUGAUAUGCUACCGAAACUAUUGUUACUGAAACUACUACUAAAACUAUCGAAAAACUACUACCAUCGGAAGUUAUUAAAGCUACAUCUACAUACAUGUUGUUGUAUUAAAGACAGUGCCACUUUCUUUGGUCCCCUGCGCCAUAUUUAUAGUCUCCACAAUCCUAAUCAGAAUUCGAGCUUAUUUAGAAACAGAAUCCCGAGAAUUUCGUCAGAAUCCUAAAAUUCCGGAAUGGUUAUCUCCUGCCAAAUUUCAAAUGGCUAAGAUCGUUCAUUGCUCCUUUAAUCCCAUGGCCAAAAUUUAGUGUCCACAGUUUCAACAUGAAAUUGCAAUGUCUGCAACCAUUUUUAGUCCAAAAGGGCACCGUAUUUUUUGUAGGAGUCUAAUUAUUUAUGUAUUUACGUGAUUAGCGUUAUUGCCAAUUAUACUUUAUUUGUACAUGGUCUAGUUUAACACAACCUAUACUAUAAGGUGUUUUUGGUAAUUGUUUUCACUAUAUAUUCAAUAACAAUACUAAGAGAGGGUCUUUACGAUUUUAUCUAAUCUUUCAUAGUAUCAGAACCACAAAGUCUUUAGAAAAAAUCAACAUGAGUCAUGAUCCUUCUUUCUUUCUUGCCACAGUAGCACUGUGUCAUUCUUUCACUAUUUAUUACGACAAUCUCAGUACAACAAUACAUUGCAACCAAUACGGUAUUACAUGCACGGAUAAAUCAUAUUAAACUAGACCAUUAUUUUUUGCAUGAUAUGAGAAAGUACAAUAGGUGAUCUCUCUUUAAUUCACAUUCCUUCCAAUAAAAAUUGGCUGAUAUCUCACAAAGCCUUUAUCUACUGCUCUUUAGCGUGUUGUAUCAAUCUCACAUUCAGUCUUGGGAUACUUAGAUUGCGGGAAAUGAUAGAGUCUAAUCAUUUAUACAUUUAUGUGAUAAGUACUGUUGCUAGUUGUACUUGUACAGGAUCUUGUUUAACAAUAUAAGGUGUUUUUCGUAAUUGUGUUCACUAUAUAUUCAAUGAAAAUUCUAGAAGAGGAUUUUACAGUUUUAUCUAAUCUUUUUUUUAUUUAAAUCAGAAAAUAAUUUAAAACUGAAGAAAAUUCAAAAGAAUCCCAUUUGAGAAAACUUAAAUAUAUUAAACUUCCAAACAUUGAAGAAUAGUGAAAGAUUAAGGUGUUGUUUGGUUGCAAGAAAAAGAGCCCAAAAAAUGGGCCCUUUUUGCAAUUGACCCCCUGAAAAAAAAUUAAUUUUAAAAAUAGCUCCAGUAAAUUUAUAUUUACAAAAAUGGCCCUGUCCUUGCUAUGCAAGCCACGUCAGUGCCACACGAACAGGGCUGGAGCCAGGUGGUUAAGUUGAACACGGUGAAUCGUUCUCCGUGUUUACUGUGUGCCUUACAGCAUAGGACUUAGGACUUGGGGACUUGGACUUGGGUGUGGGUAAUACAUUAACACGGGAAACUGUUCACCGUGUCUAGACACGGUGAACAUUUCCCUGUGUUCAGUAGAGGUACAACACACUUACAAUUAAUUUUGCACAAUAAACCACUGAAAUACAACAUCAACAACACAACAACAAAUUCAAUACAACAACACAAGAAAUUCAAGAUUAAUAAUACAAUAACAAAUCCAACACAAUAAUAAAUCCAACAGAAGAUCAAUAGAACAUCGAUACCAUAUCAUCACAACAGAAU